rnacentral:lncRNA from 1 species
UCUGUCUCAAAAGAUACAAAAAUGGUGGUCUCUAGUACACUGGUAAAACUCUCAACCUCUCGCAAAAUAAAACAUAAAUCGAGAGGUGGACCACCUAGCAACUCGUCCUCGAAGGAAGCUAGCUCGAAACAACUCCCUUCCCGCGAUCCCUGGCCUCACCCUGCGUGGAAGGCUCUGAAAAACAUCGAGAAAAAGAGGGCGUGAGAACUAUAAUUUAUAGUUCCCAGUGGGCAAUUACUCACCGCAGCUCAUUGCUCCACUAGGCC